rnacentral:rRNA from 1 species
AGUCUGCUGUUAAAGAGCNAGGCUUAACUUCCUAAAAGCAGUGGAAACUGAAGAGCUAGAGUGUAGUAGGGGCAGAGGGAAUUCCUGGUGUAGCCGUGAAAUGGGNGGAGAUGAGGAAGAACACCCGUGGCCAAAGCGCUCUGCUGGGCUAAAACUGACACUGAGGGACGAAAGCUAGGGGAGCGAAUGGGAUUAGAUACCCCCAGUAGUCCUAGCCGGUAAACGAUGGAAACUAGGUGUGGCCUGUAUCGACCCCGGGNCCGUGCCCGGAGCCAAACGCGUUAAGUUUCCCCGCCUGGGGAGUACGCACGCAAGUGUGAAACUCAAAGGAAUUGACGGGGGCCCCNCACAAGCGGUGGAGUAUGUGGUUUAAUUCGAUGCAACGCGAAGAACCUUACCAGGACUUGACAUCUCGGGAAUCUCCUUGAAAGGGGAGAGUGCCGAAAGGAACCCGAAGACAGGUGCUGCAUGGCUGUCGUCAGCUCGUGUCGUGAGAUGUUGGGUUAAGUCCCCGCAACGAGCGCAACCCUCNUCGUUAGUUGCCUCAUUAAGUUGGGAACUCUAGCGAGACUGCCNGGUGACAACCGAGGAAGGUGAGGAUGACGUCAGUCAGCAUGGCCCUUACUCCUGGGCGACACCGUACUACAUGCNAAGGACAAGAGCANCCACCCCCCAGGAGAGCAAUCUCAAAACU